rnacentral:rRNA from 2 species
AGGUGCGAUCAUACCAUACUAAUGCACCAGAUCCCAUCAGAUCUCCCCAGUUAAGCGUGCUUGGGAAAGAGUAGUAAAGGAUGGGUGACCUCCUCGGAAGUCCUCGUGUUGCACCUC